rnacentral:rRNA from 1 species
AUGAACGCUAGCUACAGGCUUAACACAUGCAAGUCGAGGGGCAGCAUGACCUAGCAAUAGGUUGAUGGCGACCGGCGCACGGGUGAGUAACACGUAUCCAACCUACCGGUUAUUCCGGGAUAGCCUUUCGAAAGAAAGAUUAAUACCGGAUAGCAUAGCGAGAAGGCAUCUUCUUGUUAUUAAAGAAUUUCGAUAACCGAUGGGGAUGCGUUCCAUUAGUUUGUUGGCGGGGUAACGGCCCACCAAGACAUCGAUGGAUAGGGGUUCUGAGAGGAAGGUCCCCCACAUUGGAACUGAGACACGGUCCAAACUCCUACGGGAGGCAGCAGUGAGGAAUAUUGGUCAAUGGACGAGAGUCUGAACCAGCCAAGUAGCGUGAAGGAUGACUGCCCUAUGGGUUGUAAACUUCUUUUAUAUGGGAAUAAAGUGAGCCACGUGUGGCUUUUUGUAUGUACCAUACGAAUAAGGAUCGGCUAACUCCGUGCCAGCAGCCGCGGUAAUACGGAGGAUCCGAGCGUUAUCCGGAUUUAUUGGGUUUAAAGGGAGCGUAGGCGGACUAUUAAGUCAGCUGUGAAAGUUUGCGGCUCAACCGUAAAAUUGCAGUUGAUACUGGUCGUCUUGAGUGCAGUAGAGGUAGGCGGAAUUCGUGGUGUAGCGGUGAAAUGCUUAGAUAUCACGAAGAACUCCGAUUGCGAAGGCAGCUUACUGGACUGUAACUGACGCUGAUGCUCGAAAGUGUGGGUAUCAAACAGGAUUAGAUACCCUGGUAGUCCACACAGUAAACGAUGAAUACUCGCUGUUUGCGAUAUACAGCAAGCGGCCAAGCGAAAGCAUUAAGUAUUCCACCUGGGGAGUACGCCGGCAACGGUGAAACUCAAAGGAAUUGACGGGGGCCCGCACAAGCGGAGGAACAUGUGGUUUAAUUCGAUGAUACGCGAGGAACCUUACCCGGGCUUAAAUUGCAUCUGAAUAAUUUGGAAACAGAUUAGCCGCAAGGCAGUUGUGAAGGUGCUGCAUGGUUGUCGUCAGCUCGUGCCGUGAGGUGUCGGCUUAAGUGCCAUAACGAGCGCAACCCUUAUCUUUAGUUACUAACAGGUCAUGCUGAGGACUCUAGAGAGACUGCCGUCGUAAGAUGUGAGGAAGGUGGGGAUGACGUCAAAUCAGCACGGCCCUUACGUCCGGGGCUACACACGUGUUACAAUGGGGGGUACAGAAGGCAGCUACACAGCGAUGUGAUGCUAAUCCCAAAAGCCUCUCUCAGUUCGGAUUGGAGUCUGCAACCCGACUCCAUGAAGCUGGAUUCGCUAGUAAUCGCGCAUCAGCCACGGCGCGGUGAAUACGUUCCCGGGCCUUGUACACACCGCCCGUCACACCAUGAGAGUUGGGGAUACCCGAAGCCUGUGAGCCAACAGUUAAAUGGGGCAGCAGUCGAAGGUAGAAUCAAUGAUUGGGGUG